rnacentral:rRNA from 1 species
AGUGAACGCUGGCGGUAGGCCUAACACAUGCAAGUCGAACGGCAGCACAGUAAGAGCUUGCUCUUACGGGUGGCGAGUGGCGGACGGGUGAGGAAUACAUCGGAACCUACUUUUUCGUGGGGGAUAACGUAGGGAAACUUACGCUAAUACCGCAUACGACCUACGGGUGAAAGCAGGGGAUCUUCGGACCUUGCGCGAUUGAAUGAGCCGAUGUCGGAUUAGCUAGUUGGCGGGGUAAAGGCCCACCAAGGCGACGAUCCGUAGCUGGUCUGAGAGGAUGAUCAGCCACACUGGAACUGAGACACGGUCCAGACUCCUACGGGAGGCAGCAGUGGGGAAUAUUGGACAAUGGGCGCAAGCCUGAUCCAGCCAUACCGCGUGGGUGAAGAAGGCCUUCGGGUUGUAAAGCCCUUUUGUUGGGAGAGAAAAGCAGCAGGUUAAUACCCCGCUGUUCUGACGGUACCCAAAGAAUAAGCACCGGCUAACUUCGUG